rnacentral:rRNA from 1 species
GAUGAACGCAGGCGGCGUGCCUAAUAUAUGCAAGUCGAGCGAACAGACCAGGAGUUUGCUCCUUUGACGUUAGCGGCGGACGGGUGAGUAACACGUAGGUAACCUACCUAUAUUACUGGGAUAACUUCGGGAAACCGGCGCUAAUACCGGAUAAUAUUCCGAACCGCAUUUUUCGAUAGUGAAAGACGGCUUUGCUAUCACUUAUAGAUGGACCUGCGCCGUAUUAGCUAGUUGGUAAGGUAACGGCUUACCAAGGCAACGAUACGUAGCCGACCUGAGAGGGUGAUCGGCCACACUGGAACUGAGACACGGUCCAGACUCCUACGGGAGGCCGCAGUAGGCACUCUGCCGCAAUGAGCGAAAGCCUGACGGAGCAACACCGCGUGAGUACUGAAAAUGUUCGGGUCGUAAAAAUCUGUUAUUAGAGAAGAACCAACAUGUAAGUAACUGUGGACAGAUUGACGGUACCAAGUCAGCCUGACACGGCUGACUACAGU